GGCUACCGCUAUUGGAGUCCGAUUAAGACAUGCGAGUCGAGAGCUUUCGGAGCUCGGCAUACUGCUCAGUAACACGUGGGUAACCUGCCCUGUGCUGGGGGAUAACCUCGGGAAACUGAGAACAAUACCCCAUAGUCCACUACGCCUGGAACGGUGAGUGGAUGAAAGCCCCGGCGGCACAGGAUGGGCCUGCGGCGUAUCAGGUAGUAGGGGGUGUAAAGUACCCUCUAGCCUUCGACGCGUACGGGUUGUGAGAGCAAUAGCCCGGAGAUGGAUUCUGAGACACGAAUCCAGGUCCUACGGGACGCAGCAGUCGCGAAACCUUGACAAUGCGGGAAACCGUGAUCAGGGGACUCCAAGUGCCAGGAGUAAGAUCCUGUGCUUUUCUUUUCUCUUCAAAGGAUUUGGAAUAAGAGGUGGGUAAGGACGGUGCCAGCCGCCGCGGUAAUACCGGCGCCUCGAGUGGUAGUCGAUUUUAUUGGGCCUAAAACGUCCGUCGCCGGUCUGGUGCAUUCGUGGGUAAAUCAACCCGCUCAACGGGUUGAAUUCUGCGAGCACGGCCAGACUAGGGACCGGGAGAGGUGUGGGGUACGCUCGGGGUAGGGGUAAAAUCCUGUCAUCCCGAGCGGACCACCUGUUGCGAAGGCUCCACACUAGAACGGAUCCGACGGUCAGGGACGAAGCCUAGGGGCACGAACCGGAUUAGAUACCCGGGUAGUCCUAGGUGUAAACGCUGUGGACUUGGUGUUGGGAGCUCCCAGAGGGCUCUCAGUGCCGUAGCGAAGGUGAUAAGUCCACUGCCUGGGGAGUACGGUCGCAAGGCUGAAACUUAAAGGAAUUGGCGGGGGAACACCGCAACCUGAGGAUUGUGCGGUUU
rnacentral:rRNA from 1 species